rnacentral:rRNA from 1 species
ACGGCGGUGUUUGGCACCUCGAUGUCGGCUCAUCACAUCCUGGGGCUGAAGUAGGUCCCAAGGGUAUGGCUGUUCGCCAUUUAAAGUGGUACGCGAGCUGGGUUUAGAACGUCGUGAGACAGUUCGGUCCCUAUCUGCCGUGGGCGCUGGAGAACUGAGGGGGGCUGCUCCUAGUACGAGAGGACCGGAGUGGACGCAUCACUGGUGUUCGGGUUGUCAUGCCAAUGGCACUGCCCGGUAGCUAAAUGCGGAAGAGAUAAGUGCUGAAAGCAUCUAAGCACGAAACUUGCCCCGAGAUGAGUUCUCCCUGAGACUUAGAGUCUCCUGAAGGAACGUUGAAGACGACGACGUUGAUAGGCCGGGUGUGUAAGCGCAGCGAUGCGUUGAGCUAACCGGUACUAAUGAACCGUGAGGCUUAACCUUACAACGCCGAAG